UUCCCCCAGUAGCGGCGAGCGAACGGGGAGCAGCCCAGAGCCUGAAUCAGUGUGUGUGUUAGUGGAAGCGUCUGGAAAGGCGUGCGAUACAGGGUGACAGCCCCGUACACAAAAAUGCACAUAUUGUGAGCUCGAUGAGUAGGGCGGGACACGUGGUAUCCUGUCUGAAUAUGGGGGGACCAUCCUCCAAGGCUAAAUACUCCUGACUGACCGAUAGUGAACCAGUACCGUGAGGGAAAGGCGAAAAGAAC
rnacentral:rRNA from 1 species